UCUUCUCAUUAGGCAGACUUUCCUCCCUCCCCUUCCAAUUCGUUCCUCCUGUCCCUCUCUUUCCAAUUGGGCAUCCUUGCCCAAUCCCUUUUUUUUUCCUCCCUUCUCCUUCCUCCCCGUUUCCUUCUUCUUUUCUUCCUUUCUUUUUCCUCUUUUCCAUUAACUAACUAUGAAAAAUAUAAUUCUAAACAUUAUAAAAAUAUAUAAAUAGUGACUUUAACCAAAAAUACUUCUCGAGUAUUUCAGGAAAACGCUAAAGGAUUAAUUCAUACACCUCACUAUAUGCUGAUCCACAAAAAUCAAUACCCUCGCCUCAUGUUUUAAAAUUUACAAAAUAAUAAAAUUUAAGACGGGUUGUCACAAUCUACCCACCUUAAAGAAUUUCGUCCCUGAAAUUUAAAAUCAUUGUUAUACUACACUUGAAGAUAGGAGUAUAAGAUAUAUAUACGUAAAGCAGAAAUCAAGUUAGAACGUUUGUGCCAUGGAGAAAAAGAUAUUCCAUCGCGGUUGGAAUGUAAUUAUUCCCCUUUCAUGCCUUCAAGCUCACGUGUUCCUCCUCUUUAUAGGUAUAAUAAUGUUAUAUAAUAGAUGGUCAAAUAAUUUUCCUCAAAAAUAAUCGACAUACAAAACACCGCUUCUAUGUGCCCUAUGGCGUUACUUUCGGGAAAUUGAAGUAACCAAUAUAUCCAAAAGGCUCAACAGAUUUGUAAGCCCGAAUCUCUCUUUCAUAAAAUGAAUAAAUAACUGUUGCCCUUGUCUGGAAAGGUUGUUGCUCACCCAUGGGGUUUUGAUCACUGGUGCAUGCGUCUACUAUACUGACAACGCACUGUUGUCUCAAUAAGCAAGUAACAAUUCCCGAGGGUGCAAUAUUAUUAUCUUGCCCCUCAUUGGGAAAUACACAUACACGCCUCAAUCGUGCUCAUUCACUACCUUCUUAGGGAAUAUCGUCAAUAACAUAAAAUUUUCUACAUCACACAUUCAAUCAUUCAAAUACUUGAUCGUAAUACUCUUUUGUAAAUCACAAGCCACGCAUACAAUAUUUAUAUUAUUCCUCAAAUGACGCCAUACUCCUACUCAUGAAUGUAACCGUAGUUACCGAUAACUCUAACAAAAGUAAGCGUCUACCGAAUAAGUACUAUGCAUAAAAUCUCUGUAUGUCAACUCCAAUGGUAACAUAGUUCACCCAAAAUUUUAACCAUGGUUACAAGCAACUAAAUAGAGAUAAUGGUAACCUGCAACCAUGCUAAUGGUGGAACGAGCAAAAUGCAAUUUGUCCACUAAGGUCUGAGUAACUUGUAUAGAAGCCUAGAAGCAGCUUUCUCAUAAUGCCAUCCUCUUCCGAAAGUAAACAGAGAAGAAACUGUAAUUAUCCAGGAAAUUUGGACUUUGUUUCCUUAACAUUUUUCUACUCUAACUGAAGGCAAAAAUGCCUGGAUUGAAAAUUCUCCUCAUUUGAUCAUAUCACAACGAGGACUUGUAGAUCACGUUCCACGAAUAAUUUAACAACAUCCCUCUUUUAUCUCAGUCGUCUUUACAAGUGUCUUGUCAUUGAAAUUUCAAUGCCCAUUCUAUGGAAAUAAACCAUCCUCAAUACUUUAAGUUUUGAGGCUGGAAGAAUAUUGCUUUCUACUUAAGUAAUUACCACCAAUUGGGACACCACAUAAAUGUACAUUGGUUCAACAUCAUGAUUGUAAAUUUUCACAUUCUCUACACAUACAAAAUACCUCGUACUAAGAGUAUAUAAUGAUACUUCCAAACUCCAUUCAUUCCACAAAAGUGAUUAUAAUCAUUCGAACUACUUCGUGCUGAUUUAAAGGUAACGUCAUAUCGAUACUCGUAUUUCCCAACUAAAAUAGAAUAGGACGAGCUGAAAGUGUUCAAAAGUAAAUAUGUCCUUUUUGUACAACCAAAAGAUACAUUAUAGGGCACUCAUAGCUGCUGAUUAAAUUCUUCUACUGCCACUAUCAGAAACUUAGUUCGUUCCAAAAAGUAAGUGUAUUUAAAAAGUUCUAAGGUUGAUACAAAUUUUGGACAUGUUCUCCACAGAGAAAGGUCAUUCGAUUUCCAAGCAAAGAUGAUAAUUGUUAACUUUACAUCACGGAUAAAAUAGUUCCUUCCAAAUGGUUCUAUACAUUAACAAGACUACUAUGGAUUUAACAUGCUUCAUGAGAAAACUCUAAGUUUCAAAAGUUUGUUACAUAAAUCACCAAUUUGAAACAAGAUUCGUGCGAAAAGAUUCAAGAAAACUAAUGUAGUACGAAGAAGUGGAAUGGUGGUAUCCUCCCGAAUAUCGCCAAGGAAUCAAAACUAUUUUUAAUUUCUACUCUCAAAAGGUUUAAUAAUGAUGGUUAACAAUAAUGAUGAGAUUGACCUGCAAAUUCCUGAUGAUAUACCAAUAAUGAUACCUUAGCCCUAUGUUAGGGCCAUCAACUAGUCUCAAUUACACACCUUUCCUUGGCAACAAGGUACACACGUCAGAAUGAUCUUCUAAAGAUUGCCAAGUCAUCAAUUUUUGCCUAAAACUUAGGAACAACUAACAUAAAUUUCUGUAUUCGACGAGAUGGCAAGAUUCAAACAUUAAACUCAAGAACCAAGAAUACUCACAUCAUGUGUGUGAUGAUAGCAAUACCGCCCAACUUAUGCUCUGAUACCAAACUGACACACCCGGACACGAAAUGUCCACUAGGACUCCGAAUCGAGCUGCGUUGGCCGACACCUGGAAGGUGACGAAGCCAUAAAGUGUGGUGAUGUGGAAAAAUGUGGAUAAAUUUAAACCUAAGAGUGCCUAAAUACCAGAGUGCAUUGGUGAACGAGUAUGAACCCACUUCACACGUGACGUUAGAGCAUAAGCAAGUACAGAAGAGCGAAUUCAGAAUCGUACCCUCGAAAUAAUCUCCAAUACUAAGAAUCGCAACAAGUCUUCGACGAUAAGAAAGCUCAGCUAAUAAAACCUGGAGGGUGAAGACAAGACAAGGGUGAGUGGCCCUGUAAUAAAAUUUUAAUAGAAACCAUAUAAAACAUCAUAACCCCUCGCCACGACACAUGUAUAAUUUUCAGAAAAAUCAUAAAUUUACCACAACACAGCAUCUCGUCAGCAAUAUUGAACACUUAUGUGAUUAAUACUUUAUACUAGCACGCAAGUCGGAGUCACCUACAGUGACCUGUACGACUAACCCAUAUCUUAUCACAUAUACUAGCCAAUCACAUAUUCAUCACAUAUGCUAGCCGAUCACAUGUUCAUCACAUAUGCUAGCUCAUCACAUAUUCAUCACAUGUGCUAGCUCAUCAAAUAUUCAUAAAAUAUGCUAGCUCAUCACAUAUUCAUCACAUAUGCUAGUUGAUCACAUAUUCAUCACAUAUUCUAGCUCAUCAUAUAUUCAUCACAUAUGCUAGUUGAUCGCAUAUUCGUCACAUAUGCUUGCUGAUCACAUAUUUAUCACAUAUGCUAGCUCAUCACAUAUUCAUCACAUAUGCUAGCUGAUCACAUAUGCUAGCCGAUUACAUAUUCAUCACAUAUGCUAGCCGAUUACAUAUUCAUCACAUAUGCUAGCUCAUCACAUAUUCAUCACAUAUGCUAAUUGAUCACAUAUUUAUCACAUAUGCUAGCUCAUCACAUAUGCUAGUUGAUCACAUAUUCAUCACAUAUGCUAGCUGAUUACAUAUUCCUCACAUUUGUUAGCUGAUUACAUAUUCGUCACAUAUGCUAGCUCAUAAGUCAGAGUCACCUCUAGUAACCUAUACGACCAUAAUCAUAUCUCAUCAAUCAAUGCUAGCUCAUAAGUUGGAGUCACCUCUAGUGACCUAUACGACCAUAAUCAUAUCUCAUCAAUCAAUGCUAGCUCAUAAGUCGAAGUCACCUCUAGUGACCUAUACGACCAUAAUCAUAUCCCAUCAAUCAAUGCUAGCUCAUAAGUCGGAGUCACCUCUAGUGACCUAUAUCACUAUGUCGAAGUCACCUCUAGUGACCUAUACGACCAUAAUCAUAUCUCAUCAAUCAAUCCUAGCUCAUAAUUCGAAGUCACCUCUAGUGACCUAUAUGACCAUAAUCAUAUCUCAUUAAUCAAUGCUAGCUCAUAAGUUGGAGUCACCUCUAGUGACCUAUAUCACUAUGUCGAAGUGACCUCUAGUGACCUAUACGACCAUAAUCAUAUCUCAUCAAUCAAUGCUAGCUCAUAAGUCAGAGUCACCUCAAGUAACCUAUAGGACCAUAAUCAUAUCUCAUCAAUCAAUGCUAGCUCAUAAGUCGGAGUCACCUCUAGUGACCUAUACAACUAUAAUCAUAUCUCAUCACAUAUCUCACCACAUACCAACAUUAUAUACUCACCUAAACUUACCUUAGCCUCCACAUUGGUGUGCAACACUAUGCAAGGUUGUACUAAAUCACAUACUAAAAUAUAAACUAAUUAUGGCAUGGCAUUUAUAAGACAUAAAACCAUAAUUUCUCGUUUCCUCGCACGUUGAUUUAUAAUCAACAUUUAUUCACCCAAAACAUAGGGUUAAAUCUCAUGUUUUUCAUCAGAUUCCUUCACAUUGCUCAUUUUCUCAAACAAAGCUUUUGUCUCAAUUAUUUAAUCUCACAUAUUGCAUGGCUGCAUCUAACAUCUCGUUAGACUACCUACGUACCCUAAACAGGGAUCAAGCCAUUCGUAGUUCACAAUUAUUAAUUGUAGGCAACAUACAUAAAUAACUUUAGAAGCAUUUAUGGAACUAUCAAUUAUAUGCCUAUAGUAAAAGGAAAAAGACCCACUCACUUGAGGCCCAUGCUAUGACUCCCUAGCAAGCAUAUCGAGACAUCAUGAACCAUCAUUGCCUGUGACCAAGGCCAAUUUGUCCUGGAAAGGCUCCAAUUUACCUCGAAUCCGCCGGGAACCCUAGAAAUGGGUGUUCUUGAUUUGUCCCCAAUUCAACUCCGACGUUCCAACCAAUGAUUGGGCAUUGUUCUAGGCCUUAAGGGAAGUCUAUUGGUGGUGGCAAUUGGAAGAAAUUGCUUCAGAAAUGGGAGAAUUGACACAAAACCUUUCGGUGUCACCAUCG
rnacentral:lncRNA from 1 species